rnacentral:rRNA from 1 species
UACGUGGGAUGCGAGCGUUAUCCGGAUUUACUGGGCGUAAAGAGUUCGUAGGUGUUUGGGUACAUCUUGUUUCAAAGCCCGGGGCUUAACCCCGGAAAGGGAUGAGAUAUGGCCUGAAUCGAGUUUGCUAGGGGAUACCGGAACUCAUAGUGUAGCAGUGAAAUGCGUUGAUAUUAUGAGGAACACCGAGAGCGAAGGCAGGUAUCUGGGGCAAUACUGACACUCAGUGAACGAAAGCUAGGGGAGCGAAAGGG